GAUGAACGCUAGCGGCAGGCCUAAUACAUGCAAGUCGAACGGGUUUUGGUAGCAAUACCAAAAUCAGUGGCGCACGGGUGCGUAACGCGUAUGCAACCUACCUUAAACUGGGGGAUAGCCUUCCGAAAGGAAGAUUGAUACCGCAUAAGAUCACACGAGGGCAUCUGAGAGUGAUUAAAGAUAUAUUGGGUUCAGAUGGGCAUGCGUGCCAUGAGCUAGUUGGUAGGGUAACGGCCUACCAAGGCUACGAUGGCUAGGGGUUCUGAGAGGAUGAUGCCCGACACUGGUACUGAGAUACGGACCAGACUCCUGCGGGAGGCAGCAGUAGGGAAUAUUGGGCAAUGGACUGAAGUCUGACCCAGCCAUGCCGCGUGCAGGAAGAAGGCCUUCUGGGUUGUAAACUGCUUUUAUCUAGGAAGAAAACGCCCAUGCGUGGGAAACUGACGGUACUAGAUGAAUAAGCACCGGCUAACUACGUGCCAGCAGCCGCGGUAA
rnacentral:rRNA from 1 species